rnacentral:rRNA from 1 species
CUACGACGGGUACGGGUUGUGAGAGCAAGAGCCCGGAGAUGGAUUNUGAGACANGANNCCNGGCCNUACGGGGUGCAGCAGGCGCGAAAACUUNNCAAUGCGGGAAACCGUGAUAAGGGGAUCUCGAGUGCCAGCAUAUAAUGUUGGCUGUCCAGAUGCNUAAAAAGCAUCUGUUAGCAAGGGCCGGGCAAGACCGGUGCCAGCCGCCGCGGUAACACCGGCGGCCCGAGUGGUAACCGCUAUUAUUGGGUCUAAAGGGUCUGUAGCCGGCCAGGUAAGUCCCUUGGGAAAUCUGGCAGCUCAACUGUCAGGCUGCUAGGGGAUACUGUUUGGCUUGGGACCGGGAGAGGUGAGAGGUACCUUGGGGGUAGGGGUGAAAUCUUGUGAUCCUCGAGGGACCACCAGUGGCGAAGGCGUCUCACCAGAACGGGUCCGACGGUAAGGGACGAAAGCUAGGGGCACGAACCGGAUUAGAUACCCGGGUAGUCCUAGCCGUAAACGAUGCUCGCUAGGUGUCAGUCACGGUGCGACCGUGAUUGGUGCCGUAGGGAAGCCGUGAAGCGAGCCACCUGGGAAGUAUGGCCGCAAGGCUGAAACUUAAAGGAAUUGGCGGGGGAGCACUACAACGGGUGGAGCCUGCGGUUUAAUUGGAUUCAACGCCGGAAAUCUCACCGGGGGCGACAGCGAUAUGAAGGUCAGGCUGAAGACUUUACCGGAUUAGCUGAGAGGUGGUGCAUGGCCGUCGUCAGUUCGUACUGUGAAGCAUCCUGUUAAGUCAGGCAACGAGCGAGACCCACAUCCACAGUUGCCAGCAUAUUCUCCGGAAUGAUGGGUACACUGUGGAGACCGCCGCUGCUAAAGCGGAGGAAGGAGUGGGCAACGGUAGGUCAGUAUGCCCCGAAUCUCCCGGGCUACACGCGGGCUACAAUGGUUGGUACAAUGGGCAUCUACCCCGAAAGGGGAAGGAAAUCUCUUAAAACCAAUCGUAGUUCGGAUUGAGGGCUGCAACUCGCCCUCAUGAAGCUGGAAUCCGUAGUAAUCGCNUCAACA